rnacentral:rRNA from 1 species
CCUACGGGAGGCAGCAGUAGGGAAUCUUCCACAAUGGGCGAAAGCCUGAUGGAGCAACGCCGCGUGGGUGAAGAAGGUCUUCGGAUCGUAAAACCCUGUUGUUAGAGAAGAAAGUGCGGGAGAGUAACUGUUCACGUUUCGACGGUAUCUAACCAGAACGCCACGGCUAACUUCGGGCCAGAAGCCGCGGUAAUACGUAGGUGGCAAGCGUUAUCCGGGUUUAUUGGGCGUAAGGGGAGAGCAGGCGGUCUUGUAAGUCAGAUGUGAAAGCCUGCGGCUUAACCGGUGUAGUGCAUUGGAGACUGGGAGACUUGAGUACAGAUGAGGCAGGUGGAAGGCGAGGUGUAGCGGUGAAAUGCGUAGAUAUAAGGAAGAACACCGGUGGCGAAAGCGGCUUACUGGUCUGUAACUGACGUUGAGGUUCGAAAGCGUGGGUAGCAAACAGGAUUAGAUACCCGUGUAGUC